UCUCUUAUUUGUACAGUUGUUUGCCCGUUGUCUCCUCCAUUAAACGGUGAACUCUUGGAGAAGAGGGACGGUUCUUUUCCCUUUCCUAGUGGCCCCAGAACUCAGGGCAGUGCCAGACACAUAGUAGCUGCUUAGUAAAUGCUGGCUGACCCCCUCACCCAUCAUUUAUUUCUCUGAGAAAAAGUCUUCAGUGUUUCAAAUGACCUGUUUUAAAUGUACUCUGGAAGAGGACCAGCCUUGCUUGGAAAACUGUAUCUUGUCCCAGAGGCCACAGUUCUAGGACACUGAUAAGAGAGAGAAUGUCCCGGGCAGGACAACGAGGAUGAGAAAGGGCCUUGAAAAAGAAACCACCCCGGGAAUGUGCGCUCACGUUGCCAACAAUGACAUCUCAGAGGGGGCUGAAACCCCCGUGGCCCCCUGGCCCAACCCGAGCCCCUCCCCGACCUGGACAAGAAGCCCAACCCCAGCAUCCUCAAGAAUAGCGCAUCCUUCUCUUCUUGGAAACCUGGCAGGGAAACCCAUGUCCUACCCAGGCAUCCCCUUCCCAUUGUUGUUUAUAUUUCACUCAAGUCCGACUCUUCCUGACCCUUUGGGGAGUUUUCUUGGCAGAGACACUGGAGCGGUUGGCCAUUCCCUUCUCCAGAUCAUUUUACAGAUGAGGAAACUGAGGCAGACCGGAUUGAGUGACCUCCCCAGAGUCACACAGCUAGGAAGUUCUGAGGGCAGAUUUGAAUUCAGGUCUGCCAGAUUCUAGAUCCUUCUAUACAUUGCCCACUCCUAUUGAGAGUUUAAUAAAAAAUAAAAAUAAAAAAAA